rnacentral:rRNA from 1 species
AACGAACGCUGGCGGCAGGCUUAACACAUGCAAGUCGAACGCAUCCUUCGGGGUGAGUGGCAGACGGGUGAGUAACGCGCGGGAACGUGCCCUUCAGUUCGGGAUAACCCAGGGAAACUUGGGCUAAUACCGAAUACGUGCGAGAGCAGAAAGAUGUAUCACUGAAGGAUCGGCCCGCGUCUGAUUAGCUAGUUGGUGGGGUAAUGGCCCACCAAGGCGACGAUCAGUAGCUGGUCUGAGAGGAUGAUCAGCCACAUUGGGACUGAGAAACGGCCCAAACUCCUACGGGAGGCAGCAGUGGGGAAUAUUGGACAAUGGGCGCAAGCCUGAUCCAGCCAUGCCGCGUGAGUGAUGAAGGCCUUAGGGUUGUAAAGCUCUUUCGUCCGGGACGAUAAUGACGGUACCGGAAGAAGAAGCCCCGGCUAACUUCGUGCCAGCAGCCGCCGUAA